rnacentral:rRNA from 1 species
GUAGCGAAAUUCCUUGUCGGGUAAGUUCCGACCCGCACGAAAGGCGUAACGAUUUGGGCACUGUCUCAACGAGAGACUCGGUGAAAUCAUAGUACCUGUGAAGAUGCAGGUUACCCGCGACAGGACGGAAAGACCCCGUGGAGCUUUACUGUAGCCUGAUAUUGAAAUUCGGCACAGCUUGUACAGGAUAGGUAGGAGCCUUUGAAACGUGAGCGCUAGCUUACGUGGAGGCGUUGGUGGGAUACUACCCUAGCUGUGUUGGCUUUCUAACCCGCACCACUUAUCGUGGUGGGAGACAGUGUCAGGCGGGCAGUUUGACUGGGGCGGUCGCCUCCUAAAAGGUAACGGAGGCGCUCAAAGGUUCCCUCAGAAUGGUUGGAAAUCAUUCAUAGAGUGUAAAGGCAUAAGGGAGCUUGACUGCGAGACCUACAAGUCGAGCAGGGUCGAAAGACGGACUUAGUGAUCCGGUGGUUCCGCAUGGAAGGGCCAUCGCUCAACGGAUAAAAGCUACCCCGGGGAUAACAGGCUUAUCUCCCCCAAGAGUUCACAUCGACGGGGAGGUUUGGCACCUCGAUGUCGGCUCAUCGCAUCCUGGGGCUGUAGUCGGUCCCAAGGGUUGGGCUGUUCGCCCAUUAAAGCGGUACGCGAGCUGGGUUCAGAACGUCGUGAGACAGUUCGGUCCCUAUCCGUCGUGGGCGUAGGAAAUUUGAGAGGAGCUGUCCUUAGUACGAGAGGACCGGGAUGGACAUACCUCUGGUGUACCAGUUGUCGUGCCAACGGCAUAGCUGGGUAGCUAUGUAUGGACGGGAUAAGUGCUGAAAGCAUCUAAGCAUGAAGCCCCCCUCAAGAUGAGAUUUCCCAACUUCGGUUAUAAGAUCCCUCGAAGAUGACGAGGUUAAUAGGUUCGAGGUGGAAGCGUGGUGACACGUGGAGCUGACGAAUACUAAUCGAUCGAAGACUUAAUCAA